rnacentral:rRNA from 1 species
GACGAGCGCUGGCGGCGUGCUUAACACAUGCAAGUCGAGCGGGAUCCCUGGUGCUUGCACUGGGGUGAGAGCGGCGAACGGGUGAGUAAUGCGUGACUGACCUGCCCUGAGGUUUGGAAUAGCUCCUGGAAACGGGUGGUAAUGCCGGAUGUUCCACACUGCUGCAUGGUGGUGUGGGAAAACUUUGGUGCCUUGGGAUGGGGUCGCGUCCUAUCAGGUAGUCGGUGGGGUAGUGGCCUACCGAGCCUACGACGGGUAGCCGGCCUGAGAGGGUGACCGGCCACAUUGGGACUGAGAUACGGCCCAGACUCCUACGGGAGGCAGCAGUGGGGAAUAUUGCGCAAUGGGGGAAACCCUGACGCAGCGACGCCGCGUGCGGGAUGGAGGCCUUCGGGUUGUGAACCGCUUUUGUUAGGGAGCAAGUGAGAGUGAGUGUACCUUUCGAAUAAGGACCGGCUAACUACGUGCCAGCAGCCGCGGUAAUACGUAGGGUCCAAGCGCUGUCCGGAAUUAUUGGGCGUAAAGGGCUCGUAGGCGGUUCGUCGCGUCUGGUGUGAAAGCCCAUUGCUUAACGGUGGGUUUGCGCUGGAUACGGGCGGGCUUGAGUGCGGUAGGGGAGAACGGAAUUCCCGGUGUAACGGUGGAAUGUGUAGAUAUCGGGAAGAACACCGAUGGCGAAGGCAGUUCUCUGGGCCGUGACUGACGCUGAGGAGCGAAAGCGUGGGGAGCGAACAGG